rnacentral:rRNA from 1 species
AGUGAACGUUGGCGGCGUGGAUUAGGCAUGCAAGUCGAGCGAGAACCGUAGCAAUACGGGGACAGCGGCGAAAGGGACAGUAAUGUGUAGGUACCUACCUCCGGGUUCGGGAUAGCUGCGGGAAACUGCAGGUAAUACCGAAUAACGUCUCCGGACCAAAGGUGUGAUUCCACCUGGAGAGGGGCCUGCAUCCUAUUAGCUUGUUGGCGGGGUAACGGCCCACCAAGGGGACGAUGGGUAGCGGGUGUGAGAGCACGACCCGCGUCAUUGGGACUGAGACACUGCCCAGACGCCUCCGGGUGGCUGCAGUCGUGAAUCUUCGGCAAUGGGCGCAAGCCUGACCGAGCGACGGCGCGUGCGGGAUGAAGGCCUUCGGGUUGUAAACCGCUGUCGUAGAGGAGGAAAUGCAGGUGGGCUCUCCCCUCUGUUUGACCUAUUCUAGGAGGAAGUACGGGCUAAGUUCGUGCCAGCCGCCGCUGUAA